AGCUUUAUAGUCAAAGUAAUAGGAUAUAAAAUUGCAAAUUUUAAGGUAUAUUUUAUAUAUUAAGGCUU
rnacentral:tRNA from 1 species